AUGAACGCUGGCGGCGUGCCUAAUACAUGCAAGUCGAGCGAACAGACGAGGAGCUUGCCCCUCUGACGUUAGCGGCGGACGGGUGAGUAACACGUGGAUAACCUACCUAUAAGACUGGGAUAACUUCGGGAAACCGGAGCUAAUACCGGAUAAUAUAUUGAACCGCAUGGUUCAAUAGUGAAAGACGGUUUUGCUGUCACUUAUAGAUGGAUCCGCGCCGCAUUAGCUAGUUGGUAAGGUAACGGCUUACCAAGGCAACGAUGCGUAGCCGACCUGAGCGGGUGAUCGGCCACACUGGAACUGAGACACGGUCCAGACUCCUACGGGAGGCAGCAGUAGGGAAUCUUCCGCAAUGGGCGAAAGCCUGACGGAGCAACGCCGCGUGAGUGAUGAAGGUCUUCGGAUCGUAAAACUCUGUUAUUAGGGAAGAACAAAUGUGUAAGUAACUAUGCACGUCUUGACGGUACCUAAUCAGAAAGCCACGGCUAACUACGUG
rnacentral:rRNA from 1 species